UGAGGAAUAUUGGUCAAUGGGAGAGAUCCUGAACCAAGCCAAGCCGCGUGAGGGAAGACGGCCCUAUGGGUUGUAAACCUCUUUGUCGGAGAACAAAACCCGGGACGUGUCCCGGACUGCGUGUAUCCGAAGAAAAAGCAUCGGCUAACUCCGUGCC
rnacentral:rRNA from 1 species